rnacentral:rRNA from 1 species
GAACCUGCGGAAGGCUCAU